rnacentral:rRNA from 1 species
GACAGAGGUGCCGAGCGUUAGGCGGAAUCACUGGGCUUAAAGCGUGUGUAGGCGGAUCUGUAUGUACCUUGUGAAAUCCCACGGCUCAACCGUGGAACUGCUUGGUAUACUGCGGGUCUUGAGCCACCUAGGGGCAAGUGGAACAAACGGUGGAGCGGUGAAAUGCGUAGAUAUUGGGAAGAACACCGGUGGCGAAGGCGGCUCACUGGCUCAUUACUGACGCUCAGGCGCGAUAGCGUGGGGAUCAAACAGG